rnacentral:misc_RNA from 1 species
GAUGAAGAACGCAGCGAAAUGCGAUACGUAGUGUGAAUUGCAAAAUUCAGUGAAUCAUCGAAUCUUUGAACGCACAUUGCACCUCUCGGUAUUCCGGGAGGUAUGCCUGUUCGAGCGUCAUUUGUACCCUCAAGCUCUGCUUGGUGUUGGGUGUUUGUUCCGCCUCUGUGUGUGAACUCGCCUCAAAACAAUUGGCAGCCGGCGUACUUGUUUCGGAGCGCAGCACAUUUUGCGAUCCAGAUCAACGUACAGCGGCAUCCAAGAAGCCUUAUUUAACGCUCUUGACCUCGGAUCAGGUAGGGAUACCCGCUGAACUUAAGCAUAUCAAUAAGCGGAGGA